rnacentral:rRNA from 1 species
GGUAGUCCACGCCGUAAACGAUGUCUACUUGGAGGUUGUGGCCUUGAGCCGUGGCUUUCGGAGCUAACGCGUUAAGUAGACCGCCUGGGGAGUACGGUCGCAAGAUUAAAACUCAAAUGAAUUGACGGGGGCCCGCACAAGCGGUGGAGCAUGUGGUUUAAUUCGAUGCAACGCGAAGAACCUUACCUACUCUUGACAUCCAGAGAACUUUCCAGAGAUGGAUUGGUGCCUUCGGGAACUCUGAGACAGGUGCUGCAUGGCUGUCGUCAGCUCGUGUUGUGAAAUGUUGGGUUAAGUCCCGCAACGAGCGCAACCCUUAUCCUUGUUUGCCAGCGAGUAAUGUCGGGAACUCCAGGGAGACUGCCGGUGAUAAACCGGAGGAAGGUGGGGACGACGUCAAGUCAUCAUGGCCCUUACGAGUAGGGCUACACACGUGCUACAAUGGCGCAUACAGAGGGCGGCCAACUUGCGAAAGUGAGCGAAUCCCAAAAAGUGCGUCGUAGUCCGGAUUGGAGUCUGCAACUCGACUCCAUGAAGUCGGAAUCGCUAGUAAUCGUGGAUCAGAAUGCCACGGUGAAUACGUUCCCGGGCCUUGUACACACCGCCCGUCACACCAUGGGAGUGGGCUGCAAAAGAAGUAGGUAGUUUAACCUUCGGGGGGACGCUUACCACUUUGUGGUUCAUGACUGGGGUGAAGUCGUAACAAGGUAGCGCUAGG